GAUUGCAUUAAUUUCUUCUCUGCAAUCGCGGCUG
ncrna:unclassified sequences S4-Bacteroidia ribosomal protein leader